GUGGGUAGGGGGGCUCUAUAGUGGAUAAGGGGGCUGUGGAGUGGGUAGAGGGGCAGUAUAGUGGGUAGGGGGCUGUAAAAAAGUAAAUACCUUUCAGUGUCCUCUUAGUCCGGUGGGCAGCUUCCCAGUAACGCGUGUAUGGGCGGAGCUUGUGGGCGGGGGCGGGGCUUCCAUUUGGGGGCGGGGCAUGCAGCCGGAAUGAUUUCAGACUGUGCAGGGAGACUGACAGGUCUCCCUGCAGCCGCUGGCAGCCGCACCACCCCCCAGCUACUCCCUCCUCCCUCCCCUCGGACUGACAGGCUGGCACAGUCCGAGGGGAGGAUUUAUCAGAAUAAUCAUUAGGGCUGUCAGCCCAG